AUGGGAACGCGAAGAACCUUACCUACUCUUGACAUCCAGAGAACUUAGCAGAGAUGCUUUGGUGCCUUCGGGAACUCUGAGACAGGUGCUGCAUGGCUGUCGUCAGCUCGUGUUGUGAAAUGUUGGGUUAAGUCCCGCAACGAGCGCAACCCUUAUCCUUUGUUGCCAGCGGUCCGGCCGGGAACUCAAAGGAGACUGCCAGUGAUAAACUGGAGGAAGGUGGGGGAUGACGUCAAGUCAUCAUGGCCCUUACGAGUAGGGCUACACACGUGCUACAUGGCGCAUACAAAGAGAAGCGACCUCGCGAGAGCAAGCGGACCUCAUAAAGUGCGUCGUAGUCCGGAUUGGAGUCUGCAACUCGACUCCAUGAAGUCGGAAUCGCUAGUAAUCGUAGAUCAGAAUGCUACGGUGAA
rnacentral:rRNA from 1 species